rnacentral:lncRNA from 1 species
UAUCCAAAACUCCGGAAUAGUACAGUUUUCGGGUGGAAAAUACUUUUAAAAGAAUAGAAUUGAUUGCUGUGUGUGCAUUAUUAGCAUCAUCCUUCGCCUAAGGAGUGUUUAGAGCAUGCAUCAUCGUAAGGAAGGUUAGCUCAAUUGUUGUCUGAUAUCCGCAUUGUGUAUGUUGUUUGUGUGAGUGGAUGAGUGUGUUGUUGUAUAUGUUAUAUUGGUACACCGUGCAGAUACAGGAAAGACUCUGUCAAUGUGGACAGAGAGAUUUCUGUAUAUGUGGCGGGUCUGUUACGUCUUGGGGACAAGUUGUAAUUUCAAAAAAAUAUAUAUAGGCAUUUUUCGCUAGCUUCAUUUCAAACUGGUUUACAAAGAAAGGACCUCGGGGCGCGACAGAAUAUUUGCACUGAAUACUUAUUCUACAUUCAAACUAACAAAAUUGAAAAUAUCAC